rnacentral:rRNA from 1 species
UACGUAGGGUGCGAGCGUUGUCCGGAAUUAUUGGGCGUAAAGAGCUCGUAGGCGGUGUGUCACGUCGGCCGUGAAAACCUGCAGCUUAACUGUGGGCGUGCGGUCGAUACGGGCAUCACUGGAGUUCGGCAGGGGAGACUGGAAUUCCUGGUGUAGCGGUGAAAUGUGCAGAUAUCAGGAGGAACACCGGUGGCGAAGGCGGG